rnacentral:rRNA from 1 species
GACAGAGGUGCCGAGCGUUAGGCGGAAUCACUGGGCUUAAAGCGUGUGUAGGCGGACUUGUAAGUACCUUGUGAAAUCCCAUGGCUCAACCAUGGAACUGCUCGGUAUACUGCUUGUCUUGAGCCACUUAGGGGCAGUCGGAACAGACGGUGGAGCAGUGAAAUGCGUAGAUAUCCACAGGAACUCCGGUGGCGAAGGCGGCGUGCUGGACCCGAUCUGACGCUGAGGCGCGAAAGCCAGGGGAGCAAACGGG